GACGAACGCUGGCGGCGUGCUUAACACAUGCAAGUCGAACGGAAAGGCCCUGCUUUUGUGGGGUGCUCGAGUGGCGAACGGGUGAGUAACACGUGAGUAACCUGCCCUUGACUUUGGGAUAACUUCAGGAAACUGGGGCUAAUACCGGAUAGGAGCUCCUGCUGCAUGGUGGGGGUUGGAAAGUUUCGGCGGUUGGGGAUGGACUCGCGGCUUAUCAGCUUGUUGGUGGGGUAGUGGCUUACCAAGGCUUUGACGGGUAGCCGGCCUGAGAGGGUGACCGGCCACAUUGGGACUGAGAUACGGCCCAGACUCCUACGGGAGGCAGCAGUGGGGAAUAUUGCACAAUGGGCGGAAGCCUGAUGCAGCAACGCCGCGUGCGGGAUGACGGCCUUCGGGUUGUAAACCGCUUUCGCCUGUGACGAAGCGUGAGUGACGGUAAUGGGUAAAGAAGCACCGGCUAACUACGUGCCAGCAGCCGCGGUGAUACGUAGGGUGCGAGCGUUGUCCGGAUUUAUUGGGCGUAAAGGGCUCGUAGGUGGUUGAUCGCGUCGGAAGUGUAAUCUUGGGGCUUAACCCUGAGCGUGCUUUCGAUACGGGUUGACUUGAGGAAGGUAGGGGAGAAUGGAAUUCUUGGUGGAGCGGUGGAAUGCGCAGAUAUCAGGAGGAACACCAGUGGCGAAGGCGGUUCUCUGGGCCUUUCCUGACGCUGAGGAGCGAAAGCGUGGGGAGCGAACAGGCUUAGAUACCCUGGUAGUCCACGCUGUAAACGGUGGGUACUAGGUGUGGGGUCCAUUCCACGGGUUCCGUGCCGUAGCUAACGCUUUAAGUACCCCGCCUGGGGAGUACGGCCGCAAGGCUAAAACUCAAAGGAAUUGACGGGGCCCCGCACAAGCGGCGGAGCAUGCGGAUUAAUUCGAUGCAACGCGUAGAACCUUACCUGGGUUUGACAUGGAUCGGGAGUGCUCAGAGAUGGGUGUGCCUCUUUUGGGGUCGGUUCACAGGUGGUGCAUGGCUGUCGUCAGCUCGUGUCGUGAGAUGUUGGGUUAAGUCCCGCAACGAGCGCAACCCUUGUUCACUGUUGCCAGCACGUUAUGGUGGGGACUCAGUGGAGACCGCCGGGGUCAACUCGGAGGAAGGUGGGGAUGACGUCAAGUCAUCAUGCCCCUUAUGUCCAGGGCUUCACGCAUGCUACAAUGGCUGGUACAGAGAGUGGCGAGCCUGUGAGGGUGAGCGAAUCUCGGAAAGCCGGUCUCAGUUCGGAUUGGGGUCUGCAACUCGACCUCAUGAAGUCGGAGUCGCUAGUAAUCGCAGAUCAGCAACGCUGCGGUGAAUACGUUCCCGGG
rnacentral:rRNA from 1 species